rnacentral:lncRNA from 1 species
CCAACUUUCAUUCAUUCUCCUACCCUCCACCCUUUCCUAUCUGUCGCUUCUCUGCCGAUCUUCUUGUCUCCUUCAUUUCCACCCUUCCUCAUUCUCUCUCUCUCUCUCUCUCUCUCUCUCUCUCACUCUUUUCGCCCAGUCUUUCUCAUUUCUCUACCUCGUUUUCGCUUCGUUUCAAGUGCUUGUCUCUCUCUCUCACCGCACAGUUCCGUUGUCAUUUGGAACAUGUUUCAUCUGAUUUAUGGACACUUGUGCCGUUGAUACCCAUCGCAUACACGGACAUACAGCUGCCUGAACACGCACUCCUCUGCAUCCAUCCAUCACUCUUAACCAGUUGCAGCCGGUGUGUAUACCAUGCACUCCAACACUCCGUUGUCCUUUUCUCUGCUUGCCGUUUACCCGGAUAUCUGGUGUAUGACGGACAUGUUUCGGAAGAUGAACAGUAUUUCAGCCGUAAAUUAGAAGAGGAGGAGGACGUGGAAACACAUACCAUAACCCACACAGACAGACUCCGGGUAAGGUCUAGUGUUCUUCAUAUGUAGUGCUUCACACCACCUGUGCUCGCGCCCGCGCACACACACACACACACACUAUAGCAUCCAUACAUACACACACGAGCGUCACAAGGUGUAGUGCUGCGUGAAAAGGACUUCCACGCGAUGCAUACACUCACAGCAUACGUUCUCUGUCUGUCUGUCUGUCUCUCUCUCUCUCUCUAUCUCUCUAUCUAUCAUCAAUGUGUGUGUGUGUGUGUCAACACAGAUACGGGCAAAUACGCGCCGCCGCCACCGUCAUAGUUGUCAUCAUCGCCAUCAGCUUCAUCAUACAUCAAAUAUGAAGUAGUUAUAUAUUUCCUUGCAACAUAAUUUUGUGUAGAAUAGGAGUAGCCAAGUUUCAAGACUUUCUGCUUCUAUGUGUGUGGAAAGAGAGAGAGAGAGAGAGAUGAAAUGAAGGAAGAGAGCAUGAUUGUCACUGCAUCCCAAUCCAAACUUGCCAUCACUCCUUAUUCCAGUCAUUAUAAUUUCUUGGCACCCACCUACUUCCACUUAAAACAGUAGCAUUUAUACUAUUUUACAUUUAAAAAAAACAACAACAUUUCGUCUAUUUAGACCUCCAAUCCCCUUACUUUUUCAACCCGCUCCUCUUUAACAUCCCCUCCUCAUCAUCUAUCCCCUGUAGAAAUAUCAUCAUCAUCAUUAUUAUUAUUAUUAUUAAUUGAUAUUUAUUGUUUUUAAAAUGUGUGUCACAGGUAUAAUCAUAUCGAAUUCUUUCAGUUGGUCUUCUUUCGAAUCUUCUCAUAUACCAAAUAUUGUUGACUGUGAGAGUGUUUAGUAUAUUUUCUCUACAAUACAAAUGCUUAGCAAGGAAGUGGUAAUAUAGUGCCUGUAAUACAAGAUUACACAGUAAUUUGUUUGUUAUAUAUGAAUGCGAGCGCGCAAUCAGAUGUGUGUGUCGGAAUGUUGGUCUGAAAUUGUAUGUAUGCGCUUGUUGCCCUAUCAUGUGUAUUAAUUCAAGUUCGACCUUAAAAAAAUAAAAUUAAAAAAAGCAAACAUAUAUAAUGUAAGCAAUAUCAUGUAAUCAAUUCUUAAUUAGGUACUUUUUUAAUUAUAGUGGAUUUGAAAUGAGAAAAUAGUUUUAUUCUCACUGUUCUUGCGUAAAACUUAUUUAUUAACCCCCCCCCCCUUAAUGAACAAAACUACAUAAUGUGGUAUGAGAGAGUUUCAGACUAUUUUGUGUAGCCACAUGAGGAACGCUUUUGAACCUGAAUUUAUAAUUCUUGAGAAAAUAAUUAUUGAUCAGAUGUUCUUAUUUCUCCCAUCACUUUUUCACUUCUAACAUAUUUUAACGAACCUUCUUUUCGUCUAAAUAUUUACUUUCGAGUUUUUUGUUCGACACUUAAGACCUCCUCUCUCCUUUUAAUGACCGUCAACUGCAGAUGGCUAAGUACCAUAAGCUCGUCUGUGAUUCAUGUCCCGUCACCGACGCUCUCACAUCUGACCAUUUAACAUUGCCAAGGGGCCUCAUCUCAACUCAUUUUAUUUGCAAUUCGUUAUCACAGAAUAGGUAGAACUGAAGCCCUCACCGAACUUCACAAUUCGAUGUACUCUCUCUCUCUCUCUCUCUCUCUCUCUCUCUCUCUCUCUCUCUCUCUCUCUCUCUCUCUCUCUCUCUCUCUCUCUCUCUCUCUCUCACACACACACACACACACACUGCUUUGCGAAUCAAGGAUUAAAAUAAACGAGUAAUUCAUGUCAGGUAACGUAGAUAUUUCGUCUCCCAGUUACUGGUUGUCUGCUGUUUACUUGGAAGAACUACGGCAAUGGGGGAAAGUAUGAUUGAUCCACAGCUGAACUCACCAACCACGCAUCCUAUCUAACCUUUGUGUGUGUACGUUUGCAUGAUCAUCAUCGUCUUCAUGUUCGCUUUUCCAUGCUGGCAUGAGUCGGACGGAAUUUUCUACAGCCGGAUGCCUUCCCUGUCGCCAAUCUCCACCUGGUUUCAAGUAAGGUAAUAUUUCCUCAUGGCGAGACAUGUUUUUCACGGAAUACUCGGAACAGAGGACACCGCUUGCAUGACGGUGACACUCGCGUAAAACUAUCAUGCGAUGUGAAGGCAAAGAGACAGUAGCACACACAUACACGCACAGAGUUAGAUAUAGAUGGGCUUCUUUCAGUUCCCGUCUGCCAAAUCUACUCACAAGGCUUCGAUUGACUCAGGGCUAUAGUAGUAGACACUUGCCCAAGGUGUCACACAGUGGGACUGAACCCUCAACGCAUGUGGCUGGGAAGCGAGCUUCUUACCACACAGCCACGCCUGUGCGCGCACCCGAGUUAUUAGCUUAAACCAGACGAAGCUGGGCUUCCUCUGACUUUUCAGGGUUUCUGUGACUGGCAAGAGAAGGUUAUCUUCAAACUGGAGACCUGGACGAAAUGCUUCCAUCUGCGAACUCCUAAAACCCCUCAAAGAUCAUUUAACCAAUGUUCAAAUAUAUUCAUAACUUGUGUAAUCUAUACUAAGCCGAACUGCAGGCAUUUGGCUACAUCUUGUUUUUUCUUCUCUUAUGUAAGUUUUCCUUAACAUACUUGUAAUGUAUUUUAUACAGAUGAAAAAUUCCCUUGUCACUUUGGGUUCGAUUGUUAAAACUAAAACCCUAUUCGCCCAUCUAAAGUUUACCUUUGCGCUAUUGGGGGAGGAAGAGAUGUGACAGUUUCUGUUAAAUGACAUAUGACCAAAGACUGUUGAGCGGGAGGUGUCAGUACAUGAUGAACAACACUACGUGCACAAACUCAACAAGAUUAUAAUCUGUUUCUUUACUACCCACAAGGGGCUAAACACAGAGGGGACAAACAAGGACAGACAAACGGAUUAAGUCGAUUAUAUCGACCCCAGUGCGUAACUGGUACUUAAUUUAUCAACCCCGAAAGGAUGAAAGGCAAAGUCGACCUCGGCGGAAUUUGAACUCAGAACGUAGCGACAGACGAAAUACUGCAAAGCAUUUCGCCCGGCGCGCUAACGUUUCUGCCAGAUCGCCGCCUUGUAACAAGAUUAUAAUCGUUGACGCUGUAUUUAACAUGUAUAUAUAAAUGUGUGUGUACAUAAAUUAUAAUUAUUGCAUUUCUUCCGGUUCUUAACAUCCUGAGUUCAAAUCCUGCCGAGAUUGAACUUCACCUUUCACGCCCCCCCUGCGGGGUGGUGGUCGAUAGAAUAAAGUACCAAUGAAGUACUGCAGUCGAUGUAAUCGAUUUACUCCCCCAACCACAUCCCCCUAAAAUUGCUGCUCUUGUCGUGACCAUCUGGUCUUUUUUGCAUAUUCUUAACUAUAUUACCCCAGCCCACUCCCGCCAUUGUAAUUUGAUGUAGAUUUGGCUAUUAUUUCCAGUAGGUCUCGAAGGACAAAUGGAUUUUCAGUGUUUAGUGUAGUCACGUUAUGAGUUCAAAUUCUCCUGAAGUCGAUCGACUUCGUCAUUCAUUCUUCCCAGAUCGUUAAAACAGGUAUUAGUGAAGUACUGAGAUCAAUAUGAUUGAUUAUCCUUGUGGGUCUUGUACCUGUAUUAUAAAAUAUUUCUUGAAGUCGCAGGGGUCUGUGCAUUGACAGAAUCGUCAGAGCACCGAAACAAAUACUUGGCGGGGCUUCUUCCGGCUCUUUACAUUCUGUGUUCAAAUUCUGCCGGAGUUGAUUUUGUCUUUCUUCCUUUCGGGUUCGAUAAAUUAAAUAAGUUCCACUUGAGCAGUGGAUGUAAUCGAUGAGCCCCCCCCGCCCCCCGCACCAAAGGCGAUGGAGCGUCAGAUCAAUUGGUUUUAAUUUACGUUCACUCCUUUACCUCGCUGCUUUCGUACCAGUCAUAUACUGGAGUCGAUGCAAUUAACUGACACAUCCUACAAAUUUGUGACAUGGCAUAAUGGCGUAGCUAAUGUGUGCUGCAUAGGACCACCCUAGAAUUUGUCAUCUUCAUGCCUCCCCUUAUACUGGUUUUUACAGUUGACCCAAAAGGGCCUCCCGCAGCGGAUGCCCCCAAACCCAGUGCAAUGGACAUGACAGAGCUCGGAAUUUUGUUUCAUUUUUCGUUCCUUUACUUUCCGAUGUCAAAUUCUUUCCGGGUUCGAUUUUUGUUCUUCGUUGCUCUGGCAUCACAAUAAGAUUACGUAGAAGUUAUUAUUUAACCCCAGGUCUGAUCUGGUCGAGCGGAACUGUGGUCAAAGACAUUUCGAAGUUGUAUUGCACAAUGUUAAAGCAUUAGGGCUUGUUUGAUUCAAGAUAGAUUUGAUAGAUUUUGGUUGCUAUUUCUAGCGAGUCGAGUGACCAUAUAGAAGCUCCCUGGUUCCGUCGUUGAUGUUGUUGUUUAUAACUUCUUGUCGGUUGUGGUCCUUGACUAAAGACAUUCCAGCGGCACCCACGCCUUUUAUCUUUUACUAGAUUGUGGUCGUAUUGAGACACCACCUUGAAGAGGUUGGUUGAACCAAUUCACCCCUGGUGCUUAUCUUAAAGUUUGGUACUUAUUCUAUCGCUUUUUUUUUGCCAAACUUCUAAAUUACAGUGACGUAAACAAACCAACACUGGUUGUCAAGUGGUGGUGGGUGACAAACACAUACAUAUACGACGGGCUUCCACACUGUUCCCGCCUACCAAAUUCGCUCUCAAGUCAUUAGUUGAUUCGGGGCUUUAUUAAUAGACACUUGUCCAAGGUGAUGUCACGCAUGGAAAUGGAUGCAAAGCAAGGCUCGUAUUUAAGGGUGUUUGGCCCCUUAUUAACCUUGAUCAGAGCUGAUUGAUUUGUGAUCUAAAGUGAUUGAGUCGUGAGUCCAAUGUUUUUUUCUUCAUGCAAAGCAGUCAAGUGUUGAGGGAAAUUCAGAUGCUAUUUCUAGCAGGUCGAGCGACUACGUUAGGAUCUCCUUCGCUUCGUUGCUGUUGUGGAUAUAAAUUUAUGAACAGAAGUGUCUUCAGUUUUCACUUUGUGCUAGAUUUCGGGAAUAAGAAAGUCUGCGACACGAAAAACUUAAUUACUGCAGUGUGUGUGUGUGUGUGUGGUAAGACCAGGGUGGAUCUGUCGACUUCUGCUGUAUGCAACUUGUAUAGUAAGAAAGAAAGGAAAGGAAAAAGCUGAGACCAUCCAUCUUUUUAGGAUUCUCUUAAUGUCUCAUUGUGUCUGAGAGAAUCAGACUGGCCUUAUUAAGAAGUCCGUUUCGCAUUUACAUGGGGUCUCGUUCAAUUCCACUCCAGUAACGUCUUCGUCAGAUGCCUUUUUUUAUUAUAACUUCUGGUCGACCAGAAUCUUGUGACAGAAAUUUGGUAGAGGUGACAAAUGCCCUGCAGCCAAUCGCAAGGGCCGCUUCUACCCGUGAUUUAUAGAUUUAAUCCGUCAUACGGUUCUGCACCAAUCGCCAGAUUCUUGGAUGUAUUUCUCACUUUGUUGCAAAUAUUCUGACCAGAUGCAGUGGAGAAACUUGAGUGUGUGUUCCGCCUGGGGAGGCCCUUGAGUUUGCUGUUCCCUCCUCCCCAUGCCCUCAAGCAUAUAUAGGCUUAUGCAGACCUAACAGUUACGCCCCUAAUAAAAGCGUCGCCCGAGGCGCUUCGCCCUUCUCGCCCCCACCUAGUCAGCUAUUGACCAAAUCCCCGCUCCGCCGGUCAUGGAAACUUCUGAAAAGGGUUAUGAGCACUGCUCUUCCUCUUUUGAUUAAGCUUUUAAAACAAUAAAUAUUGAACACUACGAGCUAACAACCACUAAUGGGAAAUAAUGAGAUGUGAACCACCACCGCCACCACCGUCUUCGUAUUGCUAUAAAAUCCAACCACCAGAAAAUUAUGUGCCACUGUAUUGUCUGCUUUAUUCGAUUGAUUGCUUCAUUGUUCCACUCUGGCAUCGCAGAAACGAAAGUUUGAAUUUAUUCUAUCAAUAAUUAUUAAGCUAAAUAAUAUUUCCCCCUCUCCCCCCUAUCUCUCUCUGAAAUGUCGCCUUUUUAGCAAGUUAUUUGGAUAUUAACAAGCAUUGCUUAAUAUUCAAAUGUAUGAAUACACGAUCUGACGAUAUCACUUAAACGCAAUACAUAUUUAUGUGUUCACAUAAAUAUGUAUUGCAGUAGAAUUAUUGCACAAUAGGGUUUUGUGGCGUUCAUACCGUUCCGCUAUCCCAUUCCAGAAUACAUGCAAAUGUUUCACUCACUCAGACUAGGGGCACACAUACGUACACACACAUGCAAAGAAACAGUGACUUCGAAGUCGCAGCUUGUUCGCCUUCAUCACUGCGCUCUACUUUACCCUAAAUCACAACAAAACCCAACUUUCUAUACAAAGAAUGUCGUGAGCUGCAUUUGGCGCAUCUGUUUAUACCUUUACUUUCACGCCUGACUGAUCCCUAAACAAUAACAAUUCCUGUAUCAAACCAGAAUAAAUCUCGUUAUAACUUUAUAUCACCCUAUACCCCACAAUCACACUUUCUUUUCCUCCUCAGUUCUCCCCCUUCCUACACAGCUACUUUCCCUAUUUACCCCACACCAGAAAAUAUCUUACCCAAAACCAUAUAAAGUCAAUAAGAAUCCAGGUUGAGUAUGAUGAAGGCAAGCAGGCCGAAACUUCCAAGAUACUCUCAACCUUUUCCUUGUAGAAGUUGAUAAAUAUGUUCUCUACUAAAAUGUCUUGAGUCGGCCAUCAGUUUAAUGUUAAAUUGUUUUUAUGUGUAAUUUCAUAUAAACACACACGCACUCGCGCGCGCUCUCUAUUAAUUUAGCAAAAAAUAUUCAUUUUGGGCUUCUUUCAAACACAAUCCACUUGUUUUUGAAAACUUUUCGCUACUUUUUAUAAACUUGAAUCUGUUGAACUUUUCUCUUUUCUUUUUUUUUAGUUUGUAAUCAUUUAAAACUAAUUUGGAAAUCUCUGUUGUGGGUUUUGUUAGAAAAUCUCUUCCUUCUUAGUAUAAACUUCGCAUAAAGCUACCGGGAACACGCAUUCGCGCGCGCGCACACACACACACACACACAGUGACUCUUCUCCGCACCACUGCAGCAAUGGACUGCAUCACUUCCUGCGGAGUGUAACUCGAGUGAUGAUGAGAGGUUAGAAUGUCUCUACUUUCACUUUCGUCAAUCGGUAGCUUGUAUGAUCUCGUUUUGGCGACCGCAAGUUGGUAGAAUCGUUAACGCCUCAGACUAAAUGCUUAACGGCAUUUCUUUCGGUUCUGUAUAUUCUGAGUUCAAAUCUCGCCCAGGUCGACCUUGCUUCCUUUCUGGGAUAGAUAAAAUAAGGACCACUGGGGUCGAUGUAAUCGAUUUAGCCCCUCCCCUAAAAUUGCUAGGCAUCGACUUGUGAUAAAAAAAAAAUGUUCUUAGAAGAGAUCCUUGAAUUAAGGCUUUUUUUUUUCUUUAAAUUUUAAAAGUCUCUGACUUACAAUUAAGAUGUGGUUGUGCCUAAAUCCGGGGGUUGUUGCGGGCCCGCGCGCGUGCGCACGUAGCAAGAUAAACUGUUUGCUUUAGGAGAUAGGGUCUUAAUAAGGAACUUCUCGUGCUUGGGAUGGAUGUGGAUUGUAUCGGAUCGUUUAGAAUUGUUUUUCUUGUUUAAUGAGGAAGACAUGGCACUCGACUGUGAAAUAAAAUCAUAUCAAUUAUUCUGAUGUUAUUAAUAAUGUUUGUAGCAGUUUUAUAAUUUGAAACCAAUGAACACAAUAGUCUUCACACGUUAUUGUCUUCAUUCGUUUAAAAUAUAAUACAUAUAUGAUAUAAUAUAUAUAUAUGAUAUAAUACAUAUAUGAUAUAAUAUAUAUAUAAUAUAAAUAAGAUAUAACAACUUCCUCUCAAUUGAUAGCCGAAAAAUAAAUUUUAAAAAAAUCCUUCGAUAAAGAGUCCUCUCCGGUUACCAGACAUAAAAUAACCUGUGAUAGAUGUGUGAAUGUGGAGAUAUUAACCCAAGGAUCGCCGAGACGAAAGGUUGGUAGUGGUUACUAAAACUCUGAUUCUCUUCAGGGGAAGGAUUCAACUCAGAGCAGCUUUAAACCCUUUUGUUCCGCCUCAAGGUAAAUUAACUUGUUUAAUUUUGUGAAUAGUUUUUACUGUAUUGCUGUCACAGCUCAGCAUUCGUUUCGUCGGAUUUUGAAUGUAACGAUCAAGACACGAUGUCGUAACCGGACCAAAUAGUAGUCGGGCUGUUUUGCUGUUGUUGGAAACAGGUUUUAUAUAAUGUGUAAUAUUGACAAGAGGCGACCUUCAGAUCCCAUGUUUUGUGUAUGUAAAUGUAGUGUUUUUAGUCUAGUGUUCAGCUUAUUUCCCAAUAAUCAACAUUCGAAUAGAUGUUAGUCGUUAGUCUAUGCACUGACAUCACCACUUAUUCCGAUAUUCCAAUAAUUAAACUUUCCGAACAGUUCCUUCUGUAUUCGUUUUAGUUCUUUAGUUUGGCACCGAGGAGCACGAGUUAGGAACUGUCAUGCUGUUCUCCCCCCCCCCUUCCCGUUAAGUAUUUAUUUGUCUGCUCCACCGAACAGCCGAACGAACGUUCGAUCCACGAAAUUUCGCUUCCACUUCUACAGUGAGCUUUCUCCACCUCUACGAUGUCUACUUGCCAACUGUUUUAGCGUUGUCUCAUGACCCACUCUUAAUCUAGAAUACUAACACAGAUGCCUACAUAGACAGACACAUAUACGCACUUACAGAUGGGCACACGUGAUUCCGUACUAUUGUUAGCACAACAGAUCGUAUAUAAUAAAUACUCCAGCCACUGCUUCGCUCUCUAAAUCAUUGCUUUGUUUGAUUUUAGUUUCAGAUUAAAAUUGCUAUUAAUCAGAGUAAAAACCAGACUCGGGAAACUGGCAGGGGUCUACCUCUGCAACGAUGAGUAAUCGAAGGAAAGGCAGAAAUAUAUAUAAUGUAUAUUUUAUAUAUGUGAGGUAUGUUUGCCAUCACAUUGUCGUGCAGUUACUGUUUAUACCUCGUUCAGAGAUUUAUUAUAUUAUAUUAUAUUAUAUAUAUAUUUAUAUAAUGAGGAAAAGAAAAAGGCCGGUACGAAAGAAAAGCUAUCUUUAUCUGGGCAAACUUCUUGUUUCUCUUAUCAAGUCCCUUUUCUUUCGACUCAUUCUCAUCUUUUCACUGUUGUUGCCCCCCCCCUCCUUACAAGAUGUUUCAACUCUGCUAGUGUCUUUCUUCGAACAUCUUGUCUUCCAUCUUGUUUCCCUGAUCGAUUUAAUUGUAUUUAAAAAAAAAAAAACAGAAAAGAAAUUUCUGCUGAUCGUUUAAUGUUUUUUAAGGCAGGACUGUUCUACUGGAUAUUUUGUUCCUCUUUUCUUAUCUAACUUCCAACAACGUGGUUGUUUGAGGACUGUUCUAUUGCUGGUUAUUUGCUGCUUUGUUGAUUGUAGCUUCUUGUAGAUAGCAAGCGUACGAAACUAUCUUCUUCGUCGAGAAUAGACGUUAACCCGAAACGUCGCAGUUUUGUUCAUCAUUUUGUUGCGGUAACAUUUAUUUUAUUGUAUCUCGAGAGGGUCAUUAUGCCAAUAAUAAAAAAAAACACACGCACUGGUUCCGUUUCACUUGUCAAUUGGUUACCUGUUUAAUUAUCUAAUUGAUUGUUUGAUUAAUCAAUCAGCUACGUUUGUCGAAGUCUUUUUGUUGCCAUUCGCGACCUCUUCAAUGACGUGCCUUCUCUAAUAAAUUGAUCAAAGUAAUUGGACCUUCUCAUUCAAAAUACUUCCCCUUCCCAAGUAACUAAGUUUUCACGAUCUCAAAUUCAAAUGCAAUCUUUGGGAGGAAUUGCAAGGAGCUAAUUCCUAGGCAUUGUUGUGCCAAUCUGAUCCAAACGCCUUGUCCUCAGUGAUGCAGCAAUGCUAAAAAUAAUAACAAUCCUUUCUACUAAAGGCACAAGGCCUGAAAUUUUGGGGGAGGGGACUAGUCAAGUACAUCGACCCCAGUGUUUCACUGGUACUUAAUUUACCGACCCCGAAAGAAUGAAAGGCAAAGUCAACUUUGGCGAAAUUUGAACUCAGAACGUAAAGACAGACGAAAUGCCGCUAAGCAUUUCGCCCGGCGUGCUAACGAGUCCGCCAGCUCGCCGCCUUGAUAAUCCUUUCUACUCUAGGCACAAGGUCUUGUGGGGAGGAGGAAGUCGAUCAUAUUGACCCCAGUACUCAACUGGUACUUGCUUUAUCGAUCCCGAAAGGAUGAGAGGCAAAGUCAACCUCGGCAGAAUUUGAACUCAGAAUGUAAAGACGGGUGAAAUGCUGCUAAGUAUUUCGCCCGGCGUGCUAACCAUUCUGCCAGCUCCCUACCUUGAUGAUGAUGAUGAUGAUCCUCCUUAUCAUCGUCAAAUAGUUUGCUUUCGGAUUCUGAACGAAGGGAUCUGAUAUCAAAAGCGUCCCAACUUUGACUUUACUCUUCUUAAAUUUUGCUUGCUAGGGUCGUCUUUUUCUUUUUCUGUUUUUGAGAUGUGAACACGUGAUUUGUAGAUUUGGCUGUUAUUUCUAGUAGGUUGAGUUAUCGCAAGAUGAUCUUGCUAAUAUAUAUAUGUGUGUGUGUGUGUGCAAUUGAAAAAGCAGCAAAAAAUUUGUUUCUAAACAAAACUGUCCGACGAACGGGAACGUGAAACUCUGAGAAACAGUUUUUGUGAUAUUUUUGCUCCUUUUUGAUAAAGCAUAUUACUCUACAUCUGGUAUUCGAGUACUAUUCUUUCGACCCGGUUUCGCAUUUAUGUGCUUACUCUGGUGUGUGUGUGUGCGUGUAUAUAUAUGUGUGUAUAUGCUAUAUAUAUGCGUAAGAGUGGGUGUGUGGUAAGUAGCUUGCUUCCCAACUACAUGAUUCCAGGUUCAGUCCCACUGUGUGGCACCUUGGGCAAGUGUUUUCUACUAUCAUCUCGAGCGGGCCAAAGCCUUGUGUGUGGAUUUGGUAGACGGAAACUAAAAGAAGCCCGUCGUAUGUAUGUAUAUAUUUAUGUUUGUGUUUGUUCCCCCACCAUUGCUUGACAGCGGAUGUUGGUGUGUUUACAUCCCUGUCACUUAGCGGUACAACAAAGAGAACGAUAGAAUAAGUACUAGGCUUACAAAGAAUAAGUCCCGGGGUCGAUUUGUUCGACCAAAGGCGGUGCUCUAGCAUGGCCGCAGUCAAAUGACUGAAACAAAUAAAACAAUAGAAGAAUAUAUAUAUACACACACACGAAGGACUUGCCCGUCGUUAGAUGACAUAUGACGAAUGAGGUUUCCGCAGUUUCUUACCAAACAGCCACACAGAUGAUUUGUUUAUAGUGAUCAAAUGUUUGUGGUAGACAUAAGCUCACUCCCUCCAUCAAAUUGACAUUACCUGUACAGGUGCGUCAUAUGCCACAUGUUUGAUAACGAAAUGAUCGCAGAGAGCAACGUGAAAUGAAGUGCUUUGGUCAAGAGCAUGACACAACGCCCGGUCUGGGAAUGGAAACCAUGAUCUCGUAGUCGUGAGUGCAAAAACUUCACAAGCUGCGACACCAGUGGAUACUGACAACUGACUGACCACUGGUUAUGUAAAACUCUUCAAUAACAGUCUGUGAAGUUUUUUCAGCUUGAACAAAAUAUAUGGCUCUACCUUUGGUAUUCGAGUCCUGUUUUUUUUCCAGCUUGUUUUCCACGCAUGUGCGUGUGUGCGUAACACUUUCGUGUCAGUAAUGUAAGGUGUCCAUAUUUCUAGAUAUCAAUUUCUGUAUUUUAUUUUCCUUGAGUACCAAGCACUUUACAAGUAAACUAUCAAAAAUAUGAGAUGACACAGCUUUGUAAAACCUUAUGACAGACAAAGAAUGUAGAAGAUAAAAAAAUUGAUAUUUUAUCUGAUUUAAAAAAAACCGUUUCGUAAUAAGUUUGAAAGUUAAAACCUUACUAAAUAUAACCUAUUCGGCUGGUGCUCUUUGUCCACCUGCACACUUUCUCCCCCCCCCCCCAUCACAUUCAUAUGUUCUCAAUUUAUUUGAAUGUCAUUCGUUUAUCACCCAUUUCAUUGCAUUUUAUAUUUGGUGGUCCUUCGGUAUUGGUAUCCAGUGCGUCAGUAUGAGGAGACAUCAUCCACCCUCAUCUUUAUCUAUGUCUUGAGGGAAGGUUGUGUGUGUGAAUGACAUCAUUAACCAAUACUGAAGGAUUUCUUUAUAUUUUUAUUUUCCAAGAGUGUCUCAUGUUCACCCAUGGUAAAUGCAUUACGAUCGUGUAAACUAAAAACUUAAAUUUGGGUUCAAAUAGUUCCACAUCCGUUCAUAAGAGGUGUAGUCGGCCAAAUGUAGUUGUAGCUAAGCAGACCUAUUAUCAAGGACGUUCCAUUCAUGAGCAUCACGCCUUUCUUCUCCUAGCAGCAGUGUAUUGAGGAUAACAUUAUAUCCUCCAAUAUGUGAAUUAAGGGAGGCUUUUAGCUUAAUCGCGUUGUGCAGUGAUUCUUAUUCACCCUUAUUUUUUAAUUAUCGACUUUUAUUAACCCACUUUCAAUGUCCCGAGCUAUGAUUCUAGAAAUAUAAAUACACCAAAAGGCUGCCAACAAGUUUGAUCACAUUAAAAGACUUCUUGAAUAUAAGUCAUUUCACCAAUAUUAAUAUGGAAUGAAAAAAAUAUACUGGCCACUGAUAUUGGUUUCAAAUGUUGGCGCAAGGGAAGAGUGAGUAAGGGCUCCGUUAGGACUUAUUUUAUUGACCCGAAAGGAUGAAAGGCAAAGUCAACCUCGGCGAAAUUUGAACUCAGAAUGUAAAGACGGACAAAAUGCAUCUAAGCAUUUUGCCCAGCGUUCUUAACAAUUCUGCCAGCUUGCCACCUCAAAGACGGAAGAAAUAUAGCUAAGCAUUUUGUCCGGCACGAUAAUUUUGACUGUCAAUAUCACAAGAUGUUUCGCACCCCUCACCCCAAAAAUUAGAAUGUUAGAGCAAUUAAAAGAUUUAUAAUUUAUUGCCCCCUUAUUGCUCCUUUUGUUCUCAGUACCCAUAUAACCCCACUUCUUGAUCCACCUUGAAAAGUCCUGGUGUAAAGGUCUCUCGUUAGUUGCUUUGAAUGUUAUGAACGUUGAAUUAUUGUCGAGUAGCGAUUGUAAUAAGGAGUAUUGCAAAAAUAUUAAUUAAAAGGGUCUGAGUCAGCAAUUGGUUUUGCUUGUUUGUGCUACUCGAUGCUGAAUAAGUGGCAUGUUUAACUUUGUGAAAGUCAAUACUUUCAACGACACCAGCCUCUCUUAUUGCUUCAUCAAUUACUCUUAAUAGCUGUCAAGGUCAACAACUAUAACAAGCUGUAGCAGUUGUUGACCUUCAUCAUAUCGACAUCUCGCUGAGCAAGUUUGGGUUUGCACUUGAAAUGGAUGUUCUGAUCUGACACGGUUGUCAGUGGGAAGACACUCAAGAUGGAGAAGAACAUCAAAUACCUCGGCGCAGGAAUCUCCUCCUCAUUGUCGUCGUCGUUCAGGGAUCCAUGGUAUUAAUUCAUGACAUGCCAAAAGUAUGGACGUCUGGAUUCAGCUGGAAGAUGAAGCGUUACCCGCUUCGUCUCCUUCCUGCUUUAUAGGACAGAAUCAUGAAUACUAACUGAUGCCCAGAAAAAAAAAAAGAAGAAAAAAAUAAAGAAAUCGAUGGAUGUCUGUUAUAUUAGGAAUGCAUGCUUUAUUAUUUCAACACAAAUUUAAGUUUGUGCGACGAGUUUAAUAUAGAAUAAUGAGUAAAAGAAAUGGAAGAGGCGUCAGUUUGAUUAUGAUCAUAUGAGGGGGAUUCUAAUUGCAUUUAUGUUGUGAGAAGAAAACAUUCCCUCUAUAACUUAUGCCAUUUAUUUAAUCUAGUCUCUGCAAGAAAGGGUGACUACUCUGAAUAUUUUCCCGUCUAAUUACACCUCUUCAGUGAAGCCGGUGAAUCAGUUGAAAGAUCAGUCUGUUGUAAUCUAUUUUUGUGGUGCAAACCCUGGUUUAACACUUUGUUGGGCUGGAAGAUACCUCAAAGUAAAAAACAAAGCUUAUCAAAGGUCGUGCGGAACCUGCAAAACUUUAAUCGAUGUGAAGGUUUCUGUAAUGCAAUCCCAGGGGCUGAGAUGGGACCCCAAACAGCAGUGUGAAAUACGUACUAGUGUCUAGCUCAAGAUGUAGGCGCGUGGUAAUAAGUACAGCAGAAAUUUACAAGUGUUGAAUUGUAUUUAUUUUGAAUUACAAGGUGCAUUCCACAAGUUUUCGACACUUUUUCAGGAGAGACAUUAAUUUCAAAGAAGCUUAAAGCUCUAAUCUCCUUCAAAGUAGAAUCGUCCGACUUCGAUGCAUUUGUUGUAGCAUUGCAACCACUGUGUGAAGACCUCAUGGAAGUCUUCCAAAUUGAAGGUGUCCAUGACUCCUAUCGCAGCGUCCUUCAUCUUUUCGGUGUCUUCAAAAAGACUGCCCUUGAGGUUCUCUUUCAGCUUGGAGAACAACCAAAAGUCACAGAAAUCAACCCCACUUCAGCAACAUCUGUAGGGAGGAUGAGGGGCAGUUUUGAUGCCCAUCUCUGUCAAGUAGUUGGUUGCCAGAAUGGAAUUCGGGACUGGUACAUUGCCCUGGUGCAGCUGUCAUCGACCCAAGAAGAAGUCUGGUCUUUUACAAUAAAAUCUCUCCCUGAACUGCCUCAAAAUCUUCAUAAGUUACUCUUUCUUGAGCGUACGGCCAGAGGGAAGCCAGUGGGUGUAGGUGAUGCUCAUACUGCCGAGAAACGGGGAUGAUCAUGAGCUUCCAGGUUGGCUUGCUUUCCUUGGCCUUCUUGGAGCCAGGAUGCUUACGUUGGGCACCCUGUCUCUGGAUCAUAACAGGACAUCCAACUUUCGUCACAUGUCACCAGGGACUCAAGUACUCUUGGAUUGCAGCCCAACCAUCUCCUCGCCGUUACCAAUCCGUCUUUUUGUCUGUUCGUCACUGAGCACCCUGAGAACAAAUUUUGCACUUGUUCUGAUCUUCAUGAAUAAAUCUGUGUACAACUACUACACUAACUCCAAACUAUGCUUAUUGUCUUUACAGGACCCACAAUCUUCAUCCAGAAAAUUGAAUUUUCGCAACCAGCUCCGAUGUUCUGGCGCCCCUCUCCCUCCCACACCUCCUCACUACCGUCUUUGAAUCUCUUUUGUACCCGCGAAAAAUUUAAUCCGUGACCAAUCUGGAGCAUUUCAUAAGUUUCUGCAGCGUUUUUGCCCAGUUCAACAUAAAUCUUUAUAGUAUAGCGAGCUUUCGAACCUCUCGAUUCCAUUCUGCAAACUAGUCGGGGCGGGGGGGUUGAAGCAAAUCCAACGUUUCAAUCUUGAAAAUAAUGAUUUGCUGCAAGAAACAGAAACAGCUUUCAUUUAUAUUUUGUAAUGGUUUGAAUGCUUUCUUUCUUCUUCUAAGUUUGGAUUUUUUUACAUCCUUCGAGAUUGAUAGUAUGAAAGGAAGAAGCUAUCCGGGUCCCAGUGUUGCAACUGGUUGGACGCUUAUGGAGCCAGGCGGUGGUGUAAACCGUGCGACGGACUGAGCCUGUCACACAAGAAAAGGGACAGUCCCCCUGACAGUUUUCAUUGAACCGAAUUUCACUAAGGCUUUGGUCGACUCGAGAUUUCCUAAGAUGAUAUAAACACAGCAUACUUGAUACUGAUUGGAGGUGAAAUCGGUCAAAACACAAAUGUAGAUGUAAAAAUUGUAAAUCUAAAAAUGGAGGAAAAUAUUAUCUUAAUAUAGUAAGGAUUGCUCAUAAAUUUGUAGUGGAUUUCAUCAUUCUUAUUUCUAUACCGCCCACAAGGGGCUACACACAGAGGGAACAAACAAGGACAGACAAACGGAUUAAGUCGAUUACAUCGAACCCCAGUGUGUAACUGGUACUUAUUUAGUCGACCUCGGCAGAAUUUGAACUCAGAACGUAGUGGCAGAUGCAAUACCUAUUUCUUUACUACCCACAAGGUGCUAAACACAGAGAGGACAAACAAGGACAGACAAACGGAUUAAGUCGAUUACAUCGACCCAGGUGCGUAAUUGGUACUUAUUUAAUCGACCCCGAAAGGAUGAAAGGCAAAGUUGACCUCGGCGGAAUUUGAACUCACAACGUAACGCAUACGAAAUACCGCUAAGCAUUUCGCCCGGCGCGCUAACGUUUCUGCCAGCUCGCCGCCUUCAUCAUUCUGGCACGUAUUUCUAUCAAAGCUGGUGAUAAAAUACCAGUUAAUUGGGAUCGAUUCCGGUAAUGCAUCUUAUGUGUGAAUUUCAUUCGAAUAGGCUUCAGCCCGACACGUAACUGAAUACAACAUUCUAUCAGGGGACCACACAUUAUGGUUAAUUUAAUCAAUCUUCGGUACUUAACUAAUACUUAUGUGAUCGGUUCCUGGGGAAAAUCUGAAGAGAGGUCGACCCCAGCAGGAUUUGAACUCGAAGUAUAGGCAUAGGAGGCAAGGCACAAUCUAAGUCUCCUAAUACAAUUCUGGUCCAUCACGGGUGCUUUAUAGGACCAUUAAAUCGAUCAUAGUAUUUGAGUAGAACCCCAAAUGUAUGAAAACCAAGGUUGACCUUGGUAGUGUUUCAACUCGGAACGGAAAAGACGGCGACUGAAAACCGAAGGCAUUUUAAGCAACGAUUUCGCCAGUCUACUUAAAUGGACGACAAAAAUUAUUUUAUUUUCUUGGAUGUAUAAAAUGUAAACUCCGUUGGUAUUUGACCUCGAUAUCUCACUAACAUAAAUAUUGCAAAGGAUUUGGUGCAACAUCUUUGAGUUUUGCCAUCCACUGCCGAAGACGUUCUUUCAUGAAGACCAACAGAGCUAUUGUCAGUUUCGUAUUUUGGGGUCAUGUCAAUAUUAGUAAUAUGACAAUGGAAUAGAUGAUAUCUCGCUUUAUAAAAGUGAUUUUCAGCUUACGGAAGAAACUAUAUUGUGUCCAUUUUGAAUCGUUCUUAGUCUUUAUUAAUAAUAAUAAAAAAAACAUACAGAAUUUAACAGUUAAUAUAUUUACCGUAUCUUCUAUUUAUCAUAUUUCUGUGUAAAUUAAUCGUACGAUUGCAAAUUGAAACCUUAUCUAUUAUUUUCCAGAAUAUUUUUUCCAGUCAUUUCAAAUUCUUAAAUUUUUUACUUAAUAAAAAUGAUCAGCAAUCACUUAUAUAAAAUAAAAUAUUAGACCUGUGUGUGUGUGUGUGAGAGAGAGAGAGAAAGGAAGGACGGAAAUACGAAAUUAAAAUAAGCCUAGCUUUUUACAUCGCGUUUUCAUUGUUCACGUUUCCAUGGUGAGAGGUUUUCUAAACAGGUAUAUCAUAAUUAAUAAUAAUAAUGAUCAUCAUUAUUAUUAUUAAUUAAUAAUAGUAAUCGUUAAUGAUGAUAUAAUAAUAAUAAUAAUAAUAAUAAUGAUAAUAAUAGCUAAAAUGUGACAGGACUCGUCGUAAUCAUAAUGUAAAUAGAUGUAUCUGUGUGGACGUGACAUCAUGUUGGCAGAUUUUGAGUGUGUGUGUGCGUGUGUGCGUGUGUGUGUGCGUGUGUGCGUGUGUGUGUGUGUGUGUGUGUGUGCGUGUGUGUGUGGACUAAUAUUUACUAAACAAAUGAAUGUGCGCGCGCGCGGAACAGUAACAUGUAAAUAGACGAGCAAAAAGAAAAACGUAGAGCUUCGCUAAAACCGGCCAUUAUAAGCUGCGCUGGUCAGGUGAGUUGAUAGACCUGUACUAGUCAUUAUUACUCGUGUGUGUGUGUGUGUGUGUGUGUGAUGUGCUGCUGCGAUUUCUCAGCGAAUCGAGUUCAUUGUCCGGAUUUUCUCAUUCUCGUCUUGGAACUGCUGUACUGGGUAUCACAGUAUAUCGGUAUCACAGCCACAUAUUAUCCCGCCCCUAGAAUCUCUCUCUCUCGCAUAAUUGCUUGAACGUCCGGGUCUAAACAUCACAUUCAACAUUCUGUGAUAUAAAAAUUACUAACAAUAUAACCUACUGUGUUUGUUAUUUUUGUUGUGUGGUUUGUGACUCCGAGAAAUGAAUUUACGAUUCUGUUUGCAAUUCUUUAUUAUUUACUUAUAUACUUGGGUAUUUUACCUUCUGAAAGCAGGCUCUUCCGUUAACGCACGAUUCCGUACCUUUGGACGAAAACGAACGAGGUGGAGUGGUAGAAGUAACAAAAGAUGACUAAAAUAUCUGAUGCAAUAAUUGUUAAUCAUAUUCCGAAUUUGGUCCAGUCCAGUGUCGAUGUCACUCGGAUUAGUAUAAGACCUUCAGUUUGUUACAAGUUAUUAUUAUACGCUGUUGAAAUGUGCAACACACAUAAGUGCUGCACCUAUUGUGAAGCAACAAGAAGAGUGUGUGUUCGCUUCACUUGUUAGAAAUAGCAGCCAGAUCUCCCUCAAUUCACACUCUGCCAUCUAAAAAAUGCAACUAAGGAAAUUGGAUAACUUUGUAACCGAAACAAAAAUUCUCUGCUCAUCACAUGGACGCCCUUCAUUGCAUCUCUUCAAUCAAGCGUAACCGGGGGAUAAAUGACUGUACCCACCGUUAGAAAUGUUUUAUACAUAUCUAGAGUGGCAAAACCCCCAUACAGUCACAUUCCUGAUUCUAUCUAGAAAACAAAAUGUUGUUUACCUAAGAGGUGAGACCCAAUAUGGGAUGACUGGGUGCAGCUGAAUGUUGAAAAUUUGGUUGACAGGGCAUUCAUCCUGUUUUGGUGAUAAUAAUGGUUGACUCUGGUGGAGGCACCUACACAGCCAUACACAUACAGAAAUAUACAGAGAGUGAAAGAGGGAGAUGGACAUUACAAUUUGUGCUGGUGCCACAUAAAUAAUACUUGUUACACACUGUAAAGUGGUUGGUGUGAGGACGGCCAUCCAGCCAUAGAAACCCUUCCAAAACCAACAAGUGGAACCUGGUGCAGUACUCCAGUUUGUUGAUAGGAACAGUCAAAUUGUCCAACCCAUGCCAAAAUGGAAAACGGACGUUAAAUGAUGGUGAUAACCUUCCUUCUCAGGCACAGAAGAAUAUAUAUAUAUAUAUAGAGAGAGAGAGAGAAUGUGAGAAACAUUAAAAUGUCUGAUGUCAAGUAAGUCAGCACUGACUCGACAAUGCCAAAACGUUUUGUACUCAGACAAACCUUUCCCUCAGACAAACCCUUCCCUCUCUGACACUUUCCAAUCCCUUACCUUUUCAUUAAUCUGUGACCUGCAUGUUGUCUUUUAUUGUCACGAUGACCAUCUCUGCUCUUUUGAACAUUUCAUAUCUGAGAAGAAAGGCUUCGUCCCCAGAACCCCUUUCAGAUCCUCCUGAGACCAGGCUUGAAUGCUUCCAACUAGGUGGAUGGCCAGAUGGAAGGCCUAACCCUUUUCAUAGCAACUCACUAGACAUUGCCCUGGUUCUAUAAUACACACUUUCUGUUUUAAAGUUAUCUAAAUUAAAAAAAAAAAACCUAUCAAAAAGUUCAUUUUGAUUAAUGUUCCAAACACAACCUGGGCCCAAAUAUUCUCCCUGUUUAUAUUCAAACUGGUGGGAUUUGGUCUUUCAUUCCUGCUCUAGAAUGUCAGUUUAAAAAUAAACAAUCAUAUCCUAAGUUAGGGAAACGGUGAUGAGUGAAAAUAUUCUGUAAACAUAAGUUUUCACUGAAUAUUUUGGCUGUAGAAAAUAAUCUAAUGUUGGGGCUUAUAAAUCCCUGGUGGAAAAAAAAAGGGUUUUUGUAUAUUUACAAACAAUCACAUCAUCGGAAUUUCAUAGUUAUAUGAUAAGGCAUGAUUAAUUCAAGACAAUAAGCAUUACAUGUUUGACAGAAUAAUCUGAAUGGUGAAGGGAUGAAGCUGACUGUUUGACUAAAUUCUUUAUCAUUUUCAAAAUUAAUCAAAAGAAAAAGUAGUGUAUUGCAACAGAAAACACAGGUAAUAAAAUGGUUCGCCCAGGUAACGACUUAAAUGUCUGCUGCCCUGCAACAAGAUCAGCCUCUCCACUCAGCUCCCAUGCUAUUGUUGAUCAACUUAAGGCCUUGAUAGAAGCUAACCCUAGGGUGGCGAGCUGGCAGAAACGUUAGCACGCCAGGCGAAAUGCGUAGCCGUAUUUCGUCUGGCAUUACUUUCUGAGUUCAAAUUCUGCCCAGGCCGACUUUGCCUUUCAUCCUUUUGGGGUCAAUAAAUUAAGUAACAGUUAUGCCCUGGGGUCGAUGUAAUCGACUUAAUCCGUUUGUCUGUCCUUGCUUGUCCUCUCUGUGUUUAGCCCCUUGUGGGUAGUAAAAGAAAUAGAUAGAAGCUAGCCCUGGAUGCUACACAAUGAAAGAGCAUCAUGAAACCAUUGGCUUAUGAAGGGAGGGUGUAUAUAACAGCACAGGGCUUGCAGGGUAGCAGCUAACAAGGUUACUAAUAAUUUUGUUAGUCUUUUUGUUGUUUAAUUCUAAAUUACCUCAUAUGAGCCAUGCUUUCAUAGCCAUGACCAUUGUAUGUUCUUUUUCCAGGCAUAGGAUAUCUGGGACUACAUUAUCCAAUGGUUUUUCUUUAUUUCUAACAGUAAAAUGUGGUAUGAGGGAUAUUUGGCUGCAGUUUCUAACAGGUCAAGUAAUCCUGCAGAAACACACUCAUUUUCUGCUACUGUUAUUUUUGUAUGAAUGUAGGUUUUAUAUGUGUGUGUGUGUAUAUAUAUAUAUAUCUUUUUCACCUUUUAUUUGUUUCAGUCAUCAGAUUGCGGCCAUGCUGGGGCACUUUCUUGAAGAAUUUUUAAUUGAAUGAAACUCCAG